GAAUAAUUUUAUAUUUUCAUCUUAAUUUUAGUUUUUUAUUUUAAAAAUUAUUUUAAAUUUUAAUUAUUAAUUUUUGGUAAGAGGGAAAAAGUUUCAUGAAUGCUUGCGAUAUAGUAGUUAAGAUCUGGUUCGCUUAAUUCUGUUUCAAUUUUUGCGAGAUGGAUUAUAAGAUGGAUGCAGGGCAGAUGCCGUGGAAAGUUAUGUAGAACAGUAACUUUGACAGCUUUUCCAUGUUCAAGUUUGCCCUUCUGGAUAGAAGAUUAUGGGCAAUGAGGCAGCUAGCAGACCGCACUUGAAGCCCAAGAGGCUCGUGCGUAAGUACGACGCCUACAGAUUCCCCUUGAGCAAGUAAAUGAUUAAUGCAAUCAAUGUUAAAAUAUAUUUUUUAUUGAAUUUAUAUAUACUAAUUUAUGUGUUGCAGGUAUGGGCGUAUGAGAUCAUUCCCAUAUUGGGUACCCACUUUGCGUGGCGAGGGGAGGGGAGACACGCUGUCCUCGUAUGCACCAUUGGCGAGUAUCUUGAGCAGAGGAUGUCCUACAGGGAAACAAUUAUCGACUUUCUUCGACGACCCUCAUGUGCGGAAUGAUAUGGUUUUAUUUUUUUAAAAUGUCAAUAGGUCAGUUUGAAGUAAUAACUCAUCUGAUAUUGUCGAUGGAGGAGAAAGUGCAGGGUCUUGUGCAUGAAAUAACUUUCGAUUGCCGACUAUAUCCUAUUGUAAAUGUCAGUUUUUGUGGAGUUAUAUUUCAAUGGCUUUGUUGAGUUUUAAUUAGAUUAAUGGCUAGAAUAUUAUUUUUAUGGUGUGAGAGGCAUGAUUUAGGCUAGAUUUGGGUGUAGAUGGUGUGUGGGAGCGAGAUGAAGGAGUUGGCUGUUGUUAAACCGGCUGUUAACAGUUGAUUUUCG
rnacentral:lncRNA from 1 species